rnacentral:tRNA from 1 species
GGGGCUGUAGCUCAGUUGGUUAGAGUGAUGGCCUGUCACGCCAUAGGUCGCGGGUUCGAGUCCCGUCAGCCCCGCCA